GACCUCCGUGGAUGGCGUAUGAGGAGCCAUGCAUAUCCUCAUACAUAUAUAAUUAUGUUUUGGUACCAA
rnacentral:precursor_RNA from 1 species